rnacentral:misc_RNA from 1 species
GAUGAAGAACGUAGCGAAAUGCGAUAAGUAAUGUGAAUUGCAGAAUUCAGUGAAUCAUCGAAUCUUUGAACGCACAUUGCGCCCGCCAGCAUUCUGGCGGGCAUGCCUGUUCGAGCGCCAUUUCAACCCUCGAGCCCCCCCGGGGGCCUCGGUGUUGGGGGACGGCACACCAGCCGCCCCCGAAAUGCAGUGGCGACCCCGCCGCAGCCUCCCCUGCGUAGUAGCACACACCUCGCACCGGAGCGCGGAGGCGGUCACGCCGUAAAACGCCCAACUUUCUUAGAGUUGACCUCGGAUCAGGUAGGAAUACCCGCUGAACUUAAGCAUAUCAAUAAGCGGAGGA